rnacentral:rRNA from 1 species
GGGAAGAGCCUCGAGUAGAGGUGACAGACCUACCGAGCCCGGCCAUAGCUGGUUGCCUGGGAAUUGAAUAAAAGUUCAGCCUCCCGGUUUCUUUCCUCACCACCACUUCAACACACCCCACAGACCCCAAGAAACCCGAGAGAGUUAGUCAAAGGGGGGAUAGCCCCUUUGACACAAGAUACAACUUUUCCAGGAGGGUACUGAUCAUAACCCAUCAAGGAAUAAUUACCCAAGUGGGCCCAAAAGCAGCCACCUCAACAGAAAGCGUCCAAGCUCAAGCACUAAUAGACUCCUUAAAUUCCGACAACCCACUCACAACCCCCUAAAACUACCAGGCCCCUUCGUGCCCCCACGAAAGAGACCAUGCUACCACGAGUAAUAAGAGAACACCCUUCUCUCCCAGCACACGUGUACACCGGAUUGGACCCCCCACCGAAACUUAACGGCCCCAAACAAAGAGGGAAAUAAACAAAACACCUAAAAACUAGAAAACCACUUAAUACCCCACCGUUGACCCUACACCGGCGUGCCUUCAAGGAAAGACUAAAAGAAAGAAAAGGAACUCGGCAAACAAAAGCCUCGCCUGUUUACCAAAAACAUCGCCUCUUGCAAAACUAAAGAAUAAGAGGUCCCGCCUGCCCACUGAUAUUAUAUUCAACGGCCGCGGUAUUUUGACCGUGCUAAGGUAGCGUAAUCACUUGUCUUUUAAAUGAAGACCCGUAUGAAAGGCUUGACGAAGGCUUAACUGUCUCCUCUUUCCAGUCAAUGAAACUGAUCUCCCCGUGCAGACGCGGGGAUAAAAACAUAAGACGAGAAGACCCUAUGGAGCUUUAGACACAAAGACAGACUAUUUUAAACACCCCUAAACAAGCACUAAAUCCAGUAAGAACCUGUCCCCGUCUUAGGUUGGGGCGACCCUGGGGAAAUACAAAACCCCCAUGUGGAGGGAGGACCUACCACUUAGACCCUCUUAAAAACCCGAAACACAAUUCUAAUUAACAGAACCUCUGACCAAAUUGAUCCGGCCAAAGCCGAUUAACGAAACAAGUUACCCUAGGGAUAACAGCGCUAUCCCCUUUUAAAGUCCAUAUAGACAAGGGGGUUUACGACCUCG